rnacentral:rRNA from 1 species
AUUGAACGCUGGCGGAAUGCUUUACACAUGCAAGUCGAACGGCAGCAUAGGUGCUUGCACCUGAUGGCGAGUGGCGAACGGGUGAGUAAUACAUCGGAACGUGCCCAGUCGUGGGGGAUAACGUAGCGAAAGUUACGCUAAUACCGCAUACGAUCUAAGGAUGAAAGCGGGGGACCGUAAGGCCCCGCGCGAUUGGAGCGGCCGAUGUCAGAUUAGGUAGUUGGUGAGGUAAAGGCUCACCAAGCCGACGAUCUGUAGCUGGUCUGAGAGGACGACCAGCCACACUGGGACUGAGACACGGCCCAGACUCCUACGGGAGGCAGCAGUGGGGAAUUUUGGACAAUGGACGCGAGUCUGAUCCAGCCAUUCCGCGUGCAGGACGAAGGCCUUCGGGUUGUAAACUGCUUUUGUACGGAACGAAAAAGCUCUUACUAAUACUAGGAGUCCAUGACGGUACCGUAAGAAUAAGCACCGGCUAACUACGUGCCAGCCGCCGCCGUAA